rnacentral:rRNA from 1 species
UCCUACGGGGGGCAGCAGUGAGGAAUAUUGGUCAAUGGUCGGGAGACUGAACCAGCCAAGCCGCGUGAGGGAUGAAGGUACAGAGUAUCGUAAACCUCUUUUGUCAGGGAACAAAGGCGGGGACGUGUCCCCGGAUGAGUGUACCUGAAGAAAAAGCAUCGGCUAACUCCGUGCCAGCAGCCGCGGUAAUACGGAGGAUGCGAGCGUUAUCCGGAUUUAUUGGGUUUAAAGGGUGCGCAGGCGGUCUGUUAAGUCAGCGGUCAAAGCCCGGGGCUCAACCCCCGCCCUCCGUUGAAACUGGCAGG